AGCAGCCGCGGUAAUUCCAGCUCCAAUAGCGUAUAUUAAAGUUGUUGCAGUUAAAAAGCUCGUAGUUGAAUUUCGAGAUCAAAUUGUUGGUCGUGCCUUGGUACGCACUGGCAUUAUUGGUUUCUCCCUUCUGAAGAACCAUGAUGUCAUUAAUUUGGUGUCUUGGGGAAUCAGGACUGUUACUUUGAAAAAAAUUAGAGUGUUUAAAGCAGGCUCGCGCUUGAAUACAUUAGCAUGGAAUAAUGAAAUAGGACGUUUGAUUCUAUUUUGUUGGUUUCUAGGAUCGACGUAAUGAUUAAUAGGGAUAGUUGGGGGCAUUAGUAUUCAAUUGUCAGAGGUGAAAUUCUUGGAUUUAUUGAAGACUAACUACUGCGAAAGCAUUUGCCAAGGAUGUUUUCAUUAAUCAAGAACGAAAGUUAGGGGAUCGAAGACGAUCAGAUACCGUCGUAGUCUUAACCAUAAACUAUGCCGACUAGGGAUCGGAUGAUGUUAAUUUUUAAUGA
rnacentral:rRNA from 1 species